UUAGCACAGUAUCAAACACCAUGUCUCCCAGAGAGGACCAUCCCACACACCAGUUGUUCAGGGCUGGUGAACAAGAGAACAGUAAACUGGUCGUUAUAUUCUUGGACAGACUGGCUUGACCUUUCCCUGGCAAGUUAGAGUUGCCCAUUUUCUUCACAUCUUUAUCCAUGGGAUUCUCUGCGGCCUGAAUUGAAGUUGAGCUCCUCCAGAGAAGAUCAGAGUUUGCCUCUGCUGGUAGACUGGGGCAGUAUCAACCUAGACUUUAAAUCCUCACUUGCUCACUUGACAUUUUUCUUUUCUUUUCUUUUUUUUUUUUUUUUUUGAGAUGGACUCUCGCUCUGUCACCCAAGCUGGAGUGCAGUGGUGCGAUCUCAGCUCACUGACUGCAACCUCCACCCCAGAUUCAAGCAAUUUUCCUGUCUCAGCCUCCCAAGUAGCAGGAUUUACAGGUGUCUGCCACCAUGCCCGGCUAAUUUUUGUACUUUUAGUAAAGGCGGGGUUUCACCAUGUUGGCCAAGCUGUUCUCGAGCUCCUGACCUCAAGUAAUCUGCCUACCUUGGCCUCCCAAAGUGCUGGGAUUACAGGUGUAAGCCACCAUGCCCAGACCCACUUGACAUUUUUCAGAUCAUACAAGUCUCAUGAAAUUAGGCCACAAACCUGCAGAUCCUGGUUGUGAAUUCUCAGGAGAAAAUUGUUUUGCCAAGAGUAAUGGAGAUCCCAUUGGUAAUAACUGUAAUAUUUUCAUUGUGCAUGUGUUUGUUUUGAUGAAUAAAC
rnacentral:lncRNA from 1 species